rnacentral:rRNA from 1 species
AUGCAGGAAAGCAAGAGUUCUCCGGUACUUAGCAAGAAGGAUGACGGCGAGGAGGGCAUCACCGUCGACCUGUAUCCAUUCAUACGGGAAUACAAGGGCGGCCGUGUGGAGCGCUUACUGCACAGCCCAUUCGUGGCAGCGUCCAAGGACCCGGCAGCAAACCGUGGAGUUGCGACCAGGGACGUGGUCGUCGACGAGAGCACCGGCGUGUUCGCACGCCUGUUCCUUCCCUCCAUUGCAGCCGCCGCUACGGGGAUCGGCGGCGAGAGGCUUCCCGUCCUCAUGUACGUCCACGGCGGAUCCUUCUGCACGGGGAGCGCGUUCUCUCGCACUUACCACAGCUACACCAGGUCUCUGGCGGCCAGCGCCGGGGCGCUCGUCGUGUCCGUGGAGUACCGUCUCGCGCCGGAGCAUCCUGUGCCUGCAGCCUAUGAAGAUGCAUGGGCGGCGCUCCAGUGGGUGGUGUCCCUCUCUGAUCCGUGGCUGUCAGACUACGCAGACCUCGGGCGCACGUUCCUCGUUGGCGACAGUGCCGGCGGGAAUGUUGUCUACAACACGGCGGUGCGUGCGGCCAGUGGCGGUGGCAGCCACAUCCACAUCGAAGGGCUGGUCAUCGUGCACCCAUACUUCUGGGGGGUCGAGCGGCUGUCCAGCUCCGAGGCAGUCUGGGACGGCAUCGCCAUGUUUGCUCCCGAGGACGUCGACAGGCUCUGGCCGUUCAUUACGGCCGGCCGGCUGGGAAACGACGAUCCCUUGGUCAACCCCGUCGACGAGGAGAUCGCCUCGCUGACAUGCCGGCGUGUGCUGGUGGCCGUGGCCGAGAAGGACACCUUGCGUGACCGCGGGCGUCGGCUGGCAGCUCGCAUGCGCGACUGCUGCUCAUGGGCCGAUGAUGAAAACGCGGUGACAUUGAUAGAAUCAAAGGGAGAAGACCAUGGCUUCCACCUGUACAACCCACUGCGUGCGACCAGCAAGAUCCUCAUGGAGAGCAUCGUACGGUUCAUCAACCAGCGCACAGCCUUGCCGCUGCCAAAACUUCACGAGCUGCAUGCAUGCCAAGGUAAGACGAAGGCAUCGUCUCCGGGUGACAUGGACACAGCCGUCCAGCCUGUUCUAGGCGUGCCAACCAGGCCGUAUAUAGACGUACAUGGCUAUGGGACGUCCAUGAGAGUCACAGAUGUGACACGUAGUAGUUGCUUACGCAUUGGAAAUGGAAGAAAAGCAUCCAAAACAAGUUUUGGGUUGUUUUUGGGGCAUGUUAUCAGGCCAAACAUCACCAACAUGAGGUUCUCGUCAUCAGCAACAACAGCUCCUGAGACUUGUCUUUUUCACACCUUCAUCUAG